rnacentral:rRNA from 1 species
GAUGAACGCUAGCGGCAGGCCUAAUACAUGCAAGUCGAACGAUACCAGAGAGCUUGCUUUCUGGGAAAGUGGCGCACGGGUGCGUAACGCGUAUGCAACCUACCUUAAUCAGGGGGAUAGCCUCUCGAAAGAGAGAUUAACACCGCAUAAAAUCACACUUCGGCAUCGAAGAAUGAUCAAAUAUUUAUAGGAUUAAGAUGGGCAUGCGUGACAUUAGCUAGUUGGUGAGGUAACGGCUCACCAAGGCUACGAUGUCUAGGGGAGCUGAGAGGAUGACCCCCCACACUGGUACUGAGACACGGACCAGACUCCUACGGGAGGCAGCAGUAAGGAAUAUCGGUCAAUGGAGGCAACUCUGAACCAGCCAUGCCGCGUGCAGGAAGACGGCCCUAUGGGUUGUAAACUGCUUUUAUACGGGAAUAAACCUCUCUACGUGUAGAGAGUUGAAUGUACUGUAAGAAUAAGGAUCGGCUAACUCCGUGCCAGCCGCCGCGGUAAGAC